AUCGGUUUACUCUAUUUCUGUGAGAGAAGAGCAGUGCGUUGCCGCAUCUGAGCAUCUCAGUCAUCAUGUCUUACAGAAUGAUGGACAGCAGUCACUCACAGCCGAGAGAUUUCAACAACCUCACUCAGACAUGCAGCUCAAACAUCCAGAAAAUCACACUAAACACUGGUCAAAUCAAGAGCAUGCUUUUCCAACUUGGUACCAUGCCAGACACACCAGAACUUCAGGACAGACU